UACGUAUGUCGCAAGCGUUGUCCGGAUUUAUUGGGCGUAAAGCGCGUCUAGGCGGUUUAGUAAGUCUGAUGUGAAAAUGCGGGGCUAAACCCCGUAUUGCGUUGGAAACUGCUAAACUAGAGUACUGGAGAGGUAAGCGGAAGUCCAAGUGUAGAGGUGAAAUUCGUAGAUAUUUGUAGGAAUACCGAUGGGGAAGGCAGCCUACUGGACAGAUACUGACGCUAAAGUGCGAAAGCGUGGGUAGCAAACAGG
rnacentral:rRNA from 1 species